UACGUAGGGGGGCUAGCGUUGUCCGGAUUUAUUGGGCGUAAAGAGCGUGUAGGCGGCCAGGUAGGUCUGGUGUGAAAACUCGAGGCUUAACCUCGAGAUGUCAUCGGAAACCAUCUGGCUAGAGUCCGGAAGAGGAGAGUGGAAUUCCUGGUGUAGCGGUGAAAUGCGCAGAUAUCAGGAGGAACACCAAUUGCGAAGGCAGCUCGCUGGGACGUUACUGACGCUGAGACGCGAAAGCGUGGGGAGCAAACAGG
rnacentral:rRNA from 1 species